UGCAAGUCGAGCGGAUGACNAGGAGCUUGCUCCUCUGAUUCAGCGGCGGACGGGUGAGUAAUGCCUAGGAAUCUGCCUGGUAGUGGGGGACAACGUUUCGAAAGGAACGCUAAUACCGCAUACGUCCUACGGGAGAAAGCGGGGGACCUUCGGACCUUGCGCUAUCAGAUGAGCCUAGGUCGGAUUAGCUAGUUGGUGAGGUAAUGGCUCACCAAGGCGACGAUCCGUAACUGGUCUGAGAGGAUGAUCAGUCACACUGGAACUGAGACACGGUCCAGACUCCUACGGGAGG
rnacentral:rRNA from 1 species